AGAGUUUGAUCCUGGCUCAGAAUCAACGCUGGCGGCGCGCUUAACACAUGCAAGUCGCACGAGAAAGUGGAGCAAUCCAUGAGUACAGUGGCGUACGGGUGAGUAACACGUGGAUCAUCUACCUCUUAGUGGGGAAUAACCCUGGGAAACCGGGGCUAAUACCGCAUAAGCUCGAGAGAGGAAAGCAGCAAUGCGCUGAGAGAGGAGUCCGCGGCCGAUUAGCUAGUUGGCAGGGUAAACGCCUACCAAGGCAAAUAUCGGUAGCCGGCCUGAGAGGGCACACGGCCACACUGGCACUGAAACACGGGCCAGACUCCUACGGGAGGCAGCAGUGGGGAAUCUUGCACAAUGGGGGAAACCCUGAUGCAGCGACGCCGCGUGAGCGAUGAAGCCCUUCGGGGUGUAAAGCUCUUUCGGCAGGGACGAUCAUGACGGUACCUGCAGAAGCAGCUGCGGCUAACUACGUGCCAGCAGCCGCGGUAAUACGUAGGCAGCGAGCGUUGUUCGGAGUUACUGGGCGUAAAGGGUGUGUAGGCGGUUGCUUAAGUUUGGUGUGAAAUCUCCCGGCUCAACUGGGAGGGUGCGCCGAAUACUGAGUGACUCGAGUGCGGGAGAGGAGAGUGGAAUUCCUGGUGUAGCGGUGAAAUGCGUAGAUAUCAGGAGGAACACCGGCGGUGUAGACGGCUCUCUGGACCGUAACUGACGCUGAGACACGAAAGCGUGGGUAGCAAACAGGAUUAGAUACCCUGGUAGUCCACGCCCUAAACGAUGCAUAUUUGGUGUGGGUCAUUCAGUUGAUCCGUGCCGGAGCUAACGCGUUAAAUAUGCCGCCUGGGGAGUACAGUCGCAAGGCUGAAACUCAAAGGAAUUGACGGGGGCCCGCACAAGCGGUGGAGCAUGUGGGUUCAAUUCGACGCAACGCGAAGAACCUUACCUGGGCUCGAACGGCUGGUUACCGGCGGUGGAAAC
rnacentral:rRNA from 1 species